rnacentral:rRNA from 1 species
GGAUCAAUAUGCUGGUCGUGCCUUUGGUACGUACUGGUAUUAUUGGUUUCUCCUUUCUGAUGAAUCAUGAUGUCAUUAAUUUGGUGUCAUGGGGAAUCAGGACUGUUACUUUGAAAAAAUUAGAGUGUUUAAAGCAGGCUUACGCUUGAAUACAUUAGCAUGGAAUAAUGAAAUAGGACGUUUAAUUCUAUUUUGUUGGUUUCUAGGAUUGACGUA